rnacentral:rRNA from 1 species
CCAGACUCCUACGGGAGGCAGCAGUGGGGGAUAUUGCACAAUGGGGGAAACCCUGAUGCAGCGACGCCGCGUGAGUGAAGAAGUAAUUCGUUACGUAAAGCUCUAUCAGCAGGGAAGAAAAUGACGGUACCUGACUAAGAAGCCCCGGCUGACUACGUGCCAGCAGCCGCGGUAAUACGUAGGGGGCAAGCGUUAUCCGGAUUCACUGGGCGUAAAGGGAGCGCAGGCGGCACGGCAAGUCUGGUGUGAAAGCCCGGGGCCCAACCCCGGGACUGCAUUGGAAACUGCCGGGCUGGAGUGCCGGAGGGGUAAGCGGAAUUCCUGGUGUAGCGGUGAAAUGCGCAGAUAUCAGGAAGAACACCGGUGGCGUAGGCGGCUUACUGGACGGCAACUGACGCUGAGGCUCGAAAGCGUGGGGAGCAAACAGGAUUAGAUACCCUGGUAA